rnacentral:rRNA from 1 species
AAAUGAAUUGACGGGGACCCGCACAAGCGGUGGAGCGUGUGGUUUAAUUCGACGCUAAGCGAAAAACCUUACCAAGGCUUGAACUGUGACUGCAAAUCCCGAGAAAUCGGGACUCUUUUGAAGGUGUCAUAGAGGUGCUGCAUGGCUGUCUGAAGCUCGUGUCGUGAGAUGUUGGGUUAAGUCCCGCAACGAGCGCAACCCCUAUCAGAUGUUAAACAGUCUUCUGAGACUGCCCUGCCAAAACGGGGAGGAAGGUGGGGAAGACGUCUAGUCCUCAUAGCCCUUAUGUCUUGGGCUACACACGCGCUACAAUGGGAGUUACAACGGGUUGCCAAACCGCAAGGUGGAGCUAAUCCUAAUAAAAACUCCCUCAGUUCAGAUUGUAGGCUGCAAUUCGCCUACAUGAAGUUGGAAUCGCUAGUAAUCGCGGAUCAGAAUGCCGCGGUGAAUACGUUCUCGGGUCUUGUACACACCGCCCGU